GCCUACGGGGCGCAGCAGCCGCGGUAAUACGUAGGUGGCAAGCGUUAUCCGGAUUUAUUGGGUGUAAAGGGCGUGUAGGCGGGAAAGCAAGUCAAAUGUGAAAACUCAGGGCUCAACCCUGAGCCUGCAUUUGAAACUGUUUUUCUUGAGUGCUGGAGAGGCAAUCGGAAUUCCGUGUGUAGCGGUGAAAUGCGUAGAUAUACGGAGGAACACCAGUGGCGAAGGCGGAUUGCUGGACAGUAACUGACGCUGAGGCGCGAAAGCGUGGGGAGCAAACAGGAUUAGAUACCCCGGUAGUCCCCCUG
rnacentral:rRNA from 1 species